GAUGAACGCUGGCGGCGUGCUUAACAUAUGCAAGUCGAACGGUGAACGAGGGAGCUUGCUCCCUCCGGAUCAGUGGCGAACGGGUGAGUAACACGUGAGCAAUCUGCCCUGGACUCUGGGAUAAGCGUUGGAAACGACGUCUAAUACCGGAUACGAGACGCGAAGGCAUCUUCAGCGUCUGGAAAGAACUUCGGUCCAGGAUGAGCUCGCGGCCUAUCAGGUAGUUGGUGAGGUAACGGCUCACCAAGCCUACGACGGGUAGCCGGCCUGAGAGGGUGACCGGCCACACUGGGACUGAGACACGGCCCAGACUCCUACGGGAGGCAGCAGUGGGGAAUAUUGCACAAUGGGCGCAAGCCUGAUUCAGCAACGCCGCGUGAGGGACGACGGCCUUCGGGUUGUAAACCUCUUUUAGCAGGGAAGAAGCGAAAGUGACGGUACCUGCAGAAAAAGCACCGGCUAACUACGUGCCAGCCGCCGCGGUAACAC
rnacentral:rRNA from 1 species